GACGAACGCUGGCGGCGUGCUUAACACAUGCAAGUCGAACGGAAAGGCCCUGCUUUUGUGGGGUGCUCGAGUGGCGAACGGGUGAGUAACACGUGAGUAACCUGCCCUUGACUUUGGGAUAACUUCAGGAAACUGGGGCUAAUACCGGAUAGGAGCUCCUACUGCAUGGUGGGGGUUGGAAAGUUUCGGCGGUUUGGGAUGGACUCGCGGCUUAUCAGCUUGUUGGUGGGGUAGUGGCUUACCAAGGCUUUGACGGGUAGCCGGCCUGAGAGGGUGACCGGCCACAUGGGGACUGAGAGACGGCGCAGAAUCCUACGGGCGGCAGCAGUGGGGAAUAUUGCACAAUGGGGGGAAGCCUGUUGCAGCGACGCCGCGUGCGGGAUGACGGCCUUCGGGUUGUAAACCGCUUUCGCCUGUGACGAAGCGUGAGUGACGGUAAUGGGUAAAGAAGCACCGGCUAACUACGUG
rnacentral:rRNA from 1 species